rnacentral:sRNA from 1 species
AGAUGUCUUUCUCAGUUGCUCUCUACCAUAUUUUUUGAGACAGGGCCUCUCAUUGAACCAGGAGGUCAUGGAUUCAGCCAGGCUAACUCCUGGGAUCCGAUCUGCUCGCCUCUUGCCUGAUCCUCCCACCCCUACCCCACAGGACUGGGAUUACAGGUACAAGCCUGUACCUAGCUGUUAGGUGGUACUCGGGAUCUGAACUGGGAUUUUCAUGCUUGCAAAGGUGAAUCUCUCCCCGCCCACUCAGAGGCUUCCAAGCUAAAGUUGAGGAACUGAUUUAAAGACAAACUCCCAGGUCCUUAACAUUUUAUCGUAAAGCUGGCUUUUAUGUCUUUCUGACAGGAAUGCUGGUGAGGAUGCACUUGUGGGGGUGGGACCACGGGACAGACCAGGGAUCUGCUCUGGGUCAGAUAGUGAGGUCAGUGGCAAGAGGGAAGUAGUGAGAAUCAACUCAAAGAGAUUCUUAGAUUCAGUGUUGUUCUGUCCUGGGGAGCACACAGGAGGAAGCAGGGAAGCGCUCCAUCUGGCUUAGGAUCUGUCCUCAGAUCCUGAGUACCACAUAACAGCUAGGUACAGCCUGGGGCUGCCAUGCCCAAGGCCCACAGAUGCCAGGCCACGAACACAGAGAAGACACACACAGUCUAUCAUUCCAAUUGGCUCAGCUCCCCCCUCUCCCCGUCAUCCCCUUCCCCCGGGAUGUGUGUGUGGUGAGAGAGGAGAUUGCAACAGAAAGUGACAGGGCUGAUUAAAGGCACAGCAAAUCAGGGCCACAAGGAAAGGUUAAAGGGAUGGCAGCUAUUUAGCCUGGAGAGGGGUGGUGCGGAACAGUUCCCGUCCAGUCUGUGCAGACUGGUUAGUAGAUGCAUGCAAGGCAGCCACCCCACUUAGCCACAGAUCUGGAGAUGACGGCACCCCCAAACUGGCCAAGCACUUCUGUGGGGUGGGGGCGAGGCUGCUCUGGAGACAGGCGGAGGAGGAGGCGUAAUUAUCAAGGCUCUUCUGUGGUCUCUGAAGGCCCCUCUCCAUUCCCCUUUGUUUUCUGCAUCUGUCAUUAUGUCGUGCAAACCACAGCCGGGCCUUUUGACAGCAUCGAUAUCUGCUUUCCUACACACACUUGGAAGGUAAUGUGGCUGUAAAUUGAACAAGUUAGAUAAAUGCCAGUACAAAGAAGAGAUUGUGUCUAGUUUUGUAGAGCCUUGUGACGGCCUCGUCCCCAACCGGCAUGAGUCUUCCUUUCCUCCACCACCUCCGGCCUUCUCUGGUCUAUCUGCUUCCUGAUUGACAGCCCAGGAGUCCUUAUUUGCUCUGCUUUUUCCUGAAUCUAUCACUCUUGACACUUUGCAAGGCCUUUUGCUUCAUUUCAAUUGCUUUUUGUUUCUUUGUUUUGGUUUUGUUUUUGUUUUUGUUGGAAACAUUUUCUCUUUCUGCUAGGUCAAGCUUUCUUACUCCUAUGGCCAGGCCAACAUAGCAUAUACAAAGGCCAGCCAGCCUCAGUUUCUCCUGGGACACACCCAGAGGCCUUUGGCCUGAGCCUCCUCAGAAUCCUGUAACUAGAGCCUACUCUGAUUCUCAACUGAGAACGGAAAGGAAUAUGGCUGUGGAAGGAAGCAGGGUCCCUACGAGCCAUUCUUCCACAGGCUUCUGUCCUAGCAUUGGGCUAUGAUCGGGUCGGGGGCUGGGACGUCCCGUGGUAAACUGUAUUUUGUUUUAGUCUUGCUAUUGAAGAAUUGAGAGUAUCAGCAAACUUCACCUGACAGGAGCAUGGUCUCUUGAGUUGACUCCAAAGGCCGCCUUCCCACCAAGACGUUCUUCAGGAAGCAAGAAAGGUAGGUCUCCCCACCUGCCAUUACCACACCAGGGACCACAUCUGCCAUGGCGAGCCCAGCUCAGGAGGUCAAAGGCAGCAACGAGCAUGUGACAGAGGCUUGGGGCUAGACAUGGGCAGAGACAACUCAGUGAAGAAUCCUGAGACACGCUGAGCCCAGAGCGAAUCUCUGUGUUCUCCCUGUAGUGGUGGGGACAGGCAGAAGGGACGUCCGGCUUGAAUUCUUUAGGGCUCGGCAGCAUGCGGCUCAGGGAUGACACCCACCAGGACACAGUGCUCAAGAAGACAGGAACAUAGAACUGCCUGCAAUUCUGGAGCUUUUAUGAUCCCUUCUCUAAGAGGUUACACUUCUGGUGACGAGACAAGACUGGAAAUUCAUGGAGCUGCCACAGAGACAAUUUGUUCUCAACGUGAGUUAUCAGAUGGAAUGAGGGAGCCAAGGAAGAGGUUGUGCAGGUCUGGGCCUCUGAGACCUGGGCAUCCCUCAUUUUAAUGCACAUCCAGUGUCCCCAACUCUGGCUGCCCGCUGUUCUUGGCAGUGACCAGUUUGACAGGGACUAGAUGGCGUGGGCUGCAUUUGCCUUGGUGUGUUGCUACCUCUCUUGAUGGUGAUGCUAGGCUUCUUCUCCUUCUUCUUCUUCUUCCUCCUCCUCCUCUCUUCCUCUCGAUUCUGAUCUCUUCUGCUUCUUCCCCCCACAAGCACAGGGGGAGCACAGGGGUCCUUGAAUCUGCAGAGAGGCCUGUCCAUCUCUGUGCUCCAUUCCACUGGAAAACUCAGAACAAUUCCUAUUAUUUUCGGUUCCCAGACCUUGAAUGUGUCAGCCUUCAGGUUCACUUCCUACGCCUCUCUCCGGCGCCCGGAUCUGCAAGUAAUUUAACCUUGUUUUUAUAGAGCGCAAAGACGUCCCGCUUGUUUACACUGGAGACAAAUUUUCCUCAAUUGACAUAGUCCUAUUGAUGAAAUAAUGACUUUCUUCCUCAUUUAAAGGUAAUUUUGGCUGGUGUCAUGACACGCAGGAGAAAGUGAAAGGCCCCUGUGUCCCACUGCUGAAGGGCAGGCUCUUGCGGCUCCGAGCCUAGGCUUUCUCUCACCUGUUCUGAAGCAUCUCCGGCGGUCCAGGGAGGCUGCUGCCCAGACCAGAGGAGGUUGGCCAAACUAAACAGCCAGUUCUUGAUUAGGGAAAUCAGAAAGCAACCUUGACUGGGUAAUGAAUGCCAAGGUUGGGCAGGACAGAUGUACUUUGUAUCAACAAUGGCUUGAUUUACUGUCCAGAUUCUUAACAUCUAAUCAGCUAGGGCCUGCACUUCCACUUUUUUUAUUUAUUCAUUUUUUAAGGUCACAUCACAUGACAGCCAGGACAUGCUAUUUUGGUCAAGGAUUUAAAAUCAAAGGGAUGGAGUGGAGAGUCAGGGAGAAUGGCAGGGGACUGCCCAUAUAGAAGGAGCACACAGAAGAGGGGUGGGGGAAACCCUUAGCUUCCUCUGAGCCCAGUUGCUUGUGAGGAAGCAGGGAGGGCCAGACCUUCUAAGACUUUGUCCCUUCAGUUCUGUGAUGCAAGGAGCCAAGAGGCCUCUGUUCAUUCUUGCUUCCGUUCCGGGUCCUUGGGCUGUGUAUUUUGAUAACGAUAAGAACAGAGGACAUCUGGGUGGAUGCGCCCUCUCCCAUUACUUUUCAGUGAGGUCGGGACAAUACAUUCUGUGUUAGCAGCGCUGUUUGAGAACAAGAUAUCCUCAUAUGUUCUUGGGGUUGAGGGGGUUGGAAUGUAUAUUAUGCAAUAACUUUUAAAAUAGUUUAGUAGAAACUUGGGUUGUAGCUCAGGGCUAGGAGGCUUGUUUAGUGCGUGCAAGGUCUAGGUUUGAUCUAUAUCACUACAGAAACGUUUUAAGAAAAAAAGAUAAUUUGUAAAUACUCGUGGAUAUAGUUCUAAAUGCAAACCCAGAGUAGCAUAGAUACUGUGGUCUCACAGUACCUAAAUGUUACUGGCUGACAUAGUUCAGGUUGUUCAGUCUGUUGCAGACACUCAAGAAGCAUUCCGUUGUUUUCUCGUUUUCUCUUCUCCAGAGGUUGACAGGCGUUUUUUUGUUUGUUUGUUUGUUUGUUUGUUUUUGAAGAGCCAGAGAGUAAAUAUUUCAAGCUCUUCGGGGCUAGGGUACAGCCUCUGUUAGAGGAAACAUGGAAAUGUGUGUGGUUGUGUUCCCAUAAACUUUGUGGGCCUGGAAUUGGGAUUUCACAUUCUCCCUGUGAGUCACAAGGUCUUCUUCUCUUGAUUUUGCUGCUCACUUAGAAUAUAAAAAUCCAUUUUUUUCCCUCAUAGGUGGUGAGGUAGACUUGGCCGAUAGAUGGCGGGUCUGUUCUUUGGGAUAGUCCUUAGGGAAGAACUAUUAACAGACAAGGAAGUCAAGACUUAAAGUAGAUAAGAACUAGAAUACUGUCUUCUUUUGGAUUCAGGGUCUCUUGUAUCCAGGCUGGCUUCAGACUCGAUGUGCACCAGCAUGCACAGUUUACGAGCUAUGCUGGGGAUCGAGGCCAAAGCUUCGUGCACUCUACACAAGCAGCUUACCAACUGGACCACAUCGUUAGCCCAAGCAGAUGAUCUUUUCUACUAGCUUGAACUUUUCUGAGACAUCAAAUAGACUUGGGGAUUAGGUUCCCUAUUUUUAAUGGCCAUUACAGAGAGAUGCUUCAUGAUGAUUCAGAUUUAAAACAUACGAGGAAAGACCAAUCCUUGAAAGGGCUAUGAGAUCUCAGGCUGGCCUAGGAGUUAUGCAGGACAAUGGUGUUGAAGGGCAUUGGCUGGAAGUAAGAAAGGAGAAAAAAGAGAGAGAAACCUGUUCUGUGAGUGUUGGGUUGUAGAUGAGGCUAAGAUCUCUUGUUUGUUGGGAACAGGGGGAUGUCAUCUAGGUAGGAUGGAGUCCAGGCUGAGAGAGUAAGGGGAAGCCUGCCGUGACUACAGUCUCCUCCCACUCUGUGGUUAACGUUGAUACAUUUUGGAAAGUUCUCUACUGCUUCCUCUAACUCUUAAUGUUUCUAAGAUGAGCAGAUUUUUUUUCUCCAGAGCCAAACUGUCUCAUUCCAGGGCUGGUUGCAGGCCUGUCCUGUUCCCUGGCCAGACUGAGGGGAGACUCAAGAACACCCUCUGAGACAGGGCCUCAGUGAGUCCAAUCCUGUUAGGAGUGUUAGUGGGUGUUGGUGCUGAGGACCACAGAGGAAGGAGGGAGGGAGGCAUUAUAGCCCCUUCACCAGUGUAGUUAGCGUCUGAAGGGCAACUAAUAUGUGUGGGCUUCAAAUCGAGUAGCGUCCUGUGAGGCACUGGGAUUCUGUAGCUGGAUAUUGAAGCUGAGGCUCAGGAUAGGGAGUAACCAAAGCGUGGUCAUACCUGUCCAAUCCUGUCUGCCCUCUGCCUUGCAGCAUCAGACCCCUACAUGAUGCUGGGCAGAGGACAACUGCAGUUCUUGCCUGAACCCUUGGUGCUGGGUGACUUGAGUAAGUGGCCUGACCUCUCUGAGUUUGUGUUUCUUCUCUUAUAUCAUAGUUUCCAUGAACAGAAAAGGAGUGCCACAAGAACGUGUCUAAAAAGUGCCAGGUACAAGUUUUCUGUACAAAUGCCUUCCGCCAUCUCUUUCAAAGUGAUCUGGUUUUGUGACGUUGACUGACUAAUUUGUCUUCAGUUUGGAUUUUCCAGGGCCUAGCACAGAGCCCGGCACCAUGAGUGUGCAGAUACUCAGUAAAUAUUUAUUCAAUGCUUUUAUCUAUAGAUGCCAGACAUUCGGAUACCCAAGAACUUUAAGAUGAUGGAGUUUUGACUUCCCGUCUGAGCGUUGUAUGUCACACUCUGAUAUAAGCUGUGGAAAUGGUUUGAAGCAAUAGGAACCCAGACAUCUCAUGCUUGCGGACGCAGGCUGACUGUGGCAGACAUGACAUGAAAGUUGAACAACAAGCAUGCCUGUCAUUUGAAAGACCUGUGAUGGAUAAACAUUGAGUGGGGCCAAUGGAAGAAGACAGAGAGAGAUGAAGAAUAGAGGCCCCUGGUGGAUAACAAGAACGUGUGAACUAGACCGCCCUCCUUCCGGUAUCUGGGUAAACACGCGGAAGCUGUCAGAGAUGAUGCUUCCGGCGGUGUUUGCGUCUUGACCUGUUAGAGAAGAGGUGUCUUUUCACCCCAGAGUAUCAAACAGAAAGCUCCCUUUGGCCUCAAGAGUACAAGACAAAAACCAGGAGGCUGACUUUCUAGAGCCACACCGCGCUUUCUAGAAUCACACUGUGUGAACAUCACUCAGACGCUGAGGGGGCGUGCUUGAAUGAAAACCAUUAUAACUUUGAUGGAGGUAAACUCAGGCAAGACUUAGCUCAAGGGUAGGUAGGGUUUGGUCUCUAACUCGUUAUACAAACAGGGUGCCGCAUUUGAUGCAUAGGAACCAACGUUACUGGCAUUUCUAAGGGGCUCCACCCAUAUCUGAAUGUCCUCUCCUGAGUGGCACUUGAGCAGAACUAGACUGCCAGUCCUUUCCCUGCCUGGGACCUGGUUUCUCUUACAACCUUGCUCUGUACAACAGUUUACUAGCACCCUGGGAAUGGCCCAGAUCACAUCAGUGUUCACAGUCAGAAGCACCUGGCUGUUUGGAUCCAUGUGCCUUUGGGACUCUGUUACUAAAAUCUUGUUUCUGGGACCACCGGUCUAGGUUUGGUUUGGUUUGGUCGGCUUCUGUCUUACCUAGACCUACCUUGAGGCCUCAGAGAACAUUCUACAGGUCGGCAGCAUCAAAACACCUAAAACAAACGACCAAAGUUCAACUUGCCUUGGAGAAAAGAGAGCUAUGUUCUUUUGGUCCCAAGCCAUGUGCCAGGGCUGGAACCAAACAGAGCUGGCCUCAACCCAUUGUUCAACAUCACACGAUCUGAGGACAAACAAACGAGAAAGUAGAUGGUGACCAGAAGAGAGAGCAGGUCACGCAUUUGUGCAAACUGUUGAUCUUGUCUUUGAGAGGCACGACUGUCUGUCUGACCAGUUUGUCCUGAUAAUAGUUACAAACUGUUCACUUUAUUGUGCAAGUCUGAAACCCCGAGUUCUUUACCGAGUUCUCUCCUUCUACCAAUAACUCGGUUUGGAAAAAUUAUCUGUGAUAAAUUUUGUGUCGGAUGCCCAAAGAAAAAUGUAUAUCUUUUUUUUUUACCAUGUAGAAUUAGGUUGUUCUUAAAUAUGUAAUCGCAUAGGAAAAGAGCUAUGGCGCUAUUCCUAAGGGCUGGCCAGCCUACGGGUGUCCCUGGCCAUAUGGUCCUCAGGCACGUUUUACAGAAGAGAAAAUUGAGGUUCAGGUCAGACGAGUAACCUGAGUUCAUGAGUUAGACAGUAAACUCGACUUAUAAAUGAGAGUCAGCGCAGGCAUACAUUUUUUUUUGCAGCCCACUUCAAUAAACUUCCAACCUCUCCUCUUGCCCAACACUUACCAGAGGUAGUAGAAGAGAAAAGAUAUUAGGACAUAGGGUAAGAGGACCUGUUUAGGAACAGUUCUUUGGGGGUCGAGCUUGAUCUUCUUGGGCAGCUGUGUAGUCCCAGAGCAAGCACUCAAUACGACUCAGUAGCUUCAAUCCAGUCCUCUCAGCAGGCAGACCCCAUGCAUGAACCAGCAGACGUAGUUCAAUCCUGAAGGAACCGCAAGGCUCACCAACUGGCCUGAGGAAUGACAGACUGCUACAGGAACCUCAUGAGUGAUUCUUUGGCAGGUUUCUCUCAAUGGCAGCAUCACCACAAGUUGAGCUCAACAGUGCUAUGAAAGGCUAAACAAUACAUGUGUGUCUUUAGUGAAGAAUAGAAAGACAGAGCAAACCAAACCAAUGCUCUGACAGCUCCCACUAUUUGAGGGGCCACAUUUAUAUUCCUUCAUUACGGGCCCAAGGAGAUAUGUUUUCAUGGUGAGUCCAAAACCCAGCCAGGCUGACCAAAGAUUAACCUUGGUGACAAGCCCAAGUGUUCAUUCUCUAGCUUCUCACCAGCUUCCAACUCCUGAAUGGACCCAGAAGGCUGCCAAGGCUGAGGAACGCUGAUGGUACCAACACAUGGCAGCACUGUAGUUCACUGGUGUGAACUACAGCACCCACUAUUAUUUUGGGAGCAGGAAAAGCCAAAGGCAAGAUCUCACCAUGUUAUUUCGGGGCAAGUCCACCAGAGAACUCACACAGACACACUCAAGGCCAAAUAGAAAGUCUACAUUGCCAGUUGGCAACUGCACAGUUGGGUUUAAUUUGCCCAAACCGUCCAGCCCCAAGCCUCGCUAGUCUUUUAUGCACAAAAAACACAUUUUAGUAGACACAUUUCGGUUAGCAAGAGUAGUUAGCAAGAAGAAAACCACAGAAGCCUAAAAGCAAGGUUAGGACAUGGAGGGACUUUUCUGGAUCCUAGAACUUUGGACUUGGUCUUUGUUCUUGGCUUGGUAGGUGCUGGGCUGCACAUUGGCUUUUAAGGUUGGAAUGGUGUCUCUCAGAGGCCACCAGAUGUGUUAAGGUCUGGGGGCUUGUUACAGUGUAGCCCAGGAUGGCCUUGAAUUCACCCCCGAGCUCUGGAAUUACAGGGAGAUGUGCACUGCUCUUGGCAUUCAUUCUUUAUACUAGUAACAACCAGACACACAUAAGACACCGGGAUAAAAAGGUUUGCUGCACUUUAAAAGAGAAAGGGUUUCUUGAAAAUAAAAAAAUGUGACAUGUAAUCAGAUUGAAGUUUUAGAAGAUUACAGUGUCACUCUUAUUUAAAUUUGUGUAUUCGUUAACAACCAUUGCCCUCGGAGUACCCCCUCCCAUCGGUUAUAUCACUAGGCAGCCAGAUAAAUUACGACGCCAGGAAUAUCCUGCUCUAUUGCAGAUUAAAAAUAUUAACUGUGACCAUGCUUAGUUUUUAAAAUCAAAAUGUCACUGUUCAAAUAAAAAAAAAGUACACUUGUUACCAUUUACAUUUUUCUUUUAAGUGGAUACGUUUAAGUCUUAAAAAGUAAAUCUAAUGCAUGUGAAAAAUAACUCUUCUUUUCAUUUUUUUUACAAAAUGUAUUCAAUGUAUGCAAAUUUUAAUAGGAUCACAUUUUGCAUUAAUCAUUUUUAUUGUUGAGAGCGGCUAUGAGUCAGAAGAGCUGUAAAAGAUGAAAUGGGGGCAUAAAACUCGGAAGCUUAAGAGAAACAGAAACUCGGGGGGCGGGGGCGCGCGGAGCGAGAUCUACACAGAUCUCUGGACCCUGGAGAAACGAGGGAAGUGCGUGAGUUGGACGGCUCUCAGCGCCUCCCACGUGACAUUGCCACUCAGGGCUUUGCAAAUGACUUACUUCAGACAGGUCUAGUUAAUGAUGAAAACAAUGAGAAAUUAAAAGGCGGUUCUUAUCAAGUUGAGACCCUAGAAGCAAGAGGUGCAGCUGGUGCCUGUCUGGGUGACAAGGAGAAAAUUCCAUCUGUAAAACGAGCCCAGUGGGAAGAGAGGGAGAGCCCUGGCCUUCGAGCUCUGCUGGCUCCCUGGAGCCUGAUUCUGGCUCUGACUGACUCUUUCCUCCCGGCACAUUCUCAUCUAAGUGAUUUAUUCCUCUUGGCUAAACAUGGCACAGCACUGAACAUUUUGUUUCACACCAGAAUUCUUUCAGUCGGAAAAAGACGUUGUGGAAAUUGGCUCUUAAGUUCAAAGGCAAAAUGCUUUGUGAAUUCUGUAACAGUUAUUGCCAGUCUUAAGGCAGCUCUAACCAGGGAGGAAUUUCAGAAAGAAUUUCACAGAAAAGCACACAAGCGACUCUCACGGAGGAACAGAGGUAAAUAAUCAACAAGCUGUAAGGGACACUGACAGAAUAGCUCUAAAAUUAGAGCCAAUCAGGACAGAGCUUCUUGGGGUCUUUGUAGAGAACAGGAAAAACCGGGUAUGGUCCAUGCCAUUUUUAAUCCCUGCACUCAGGAGGUACAGGCAAGUGCAUUUCUAUAAGUUCGAGGCCAGCCUUCUCUACAUAGUGAACUCCAUGCUAAUCUAGGGAAAAAACAAACAAAUAAACAAACAAACAAACAAACACAAAAUGUUUCUGAGUUUGCUCCCAAGUGGCUCAAACACGAACUGAAGGUUUUAAAAUCCUCUCCUUCAAUUCAGAAAGUGCGGAAGUCCCAUGAACCCCCGAUAAUGUAUAAAACUUGGGUACAUCCUCGUACAUUAGAAUUUUUUUGUUGUGUGUGUGUUGUAAGUGACAUACAAUGGAUCCAGAGCAGGUUAUCUCAAAUGGAGUUUAGAUAAAGUGUAGGUGGAAACCUGUGCAUCUUGGGGAAGGGUACAAGGAAAGUCUGGAGUAGUUGAAAACAAGAUUGCUGACUGCACUGAGCAGCUUGCAGCCUUCCUUGGGUGGCCACUGUGUAGUUUCACAUCAUUGACCUCGGGUUCCUUGACUCAGAGGGUUGUAGAGAAAACCUGACACUGACUUCUUUCUCUUUCCAGGUCGAAAGUUCCUAGAAAGUACAUAGCUCCUCUCCUGAUGAGAACCAUUCACUGUGGCCAGAACGUGUCUGGGACAGUAGAGGUUGGUGGUGUUGCUUGGGACAGUUCAGCAAUGGUGCACACUGCUCUCAGGUCCCUCUGAAGAUGAAGCACUUCCUUUGUUCCUUCCUUGCCUGCCCACAUCUUUCUUUCUCAUGUGUAUGUCUACUGCAGCAUGUGCAUGGAGGUCAGAGGUCAACUUUCAGUCGUCAGUUCUCUCCCUCCACCAUGGGAGUCCAAGGAUCGAACUCACAUCCUCAGGCUUGCUGGCAAGUACCUUACACAGUGAGCCAUCUCACUGGCUCUAAAGUUGGAACACUUCGG